CAGAGCUCCAUCCAACCUGGCCUAGAACACUUCCAGGAAUGGGGCUUCCACAAUUUCUCAAGGCAACCUGUGCCAGGACCUCACCAUUCCCCCAGGAAAAUAAUUCCUUCCUGACAUCUGAUCUAACCCUACUCUCUGUAAAUUUGUACUCAUUCCUCCUUGUUCUCUCACUACAGUUUCUGAUGAAAAAUCUCUAUCUGGCUUCCUUGUAGGCAUCCAUGGGAGACAAUGUUGCCUAGCAUAGUUUGGAUCAGUGAAAAGUCUCAUAGAGAUAUUUGCAAUAAUUUCAUUUAAAUGGUACCAGCACUUCAUAAAAGUUCAAGACAUGAGGAAACAAGCUUGAAAGAGAAGAGCCCUGAGCAAUGUGUUAUAAAAGCUUGCGUAUAAAUACCUCCUGUAAUCAAAUAUACUGAGGUUCCUGCAGCACUACAAUGACAGCACUGCUGUAAAUGAAAGCAGUAAAGCAGUCAUAGGACCUCGUGGGGAAAAGAAAUGAAAAUGGACUACGCUUUCAGCAGGAAAAGCCUUAGUCAGGAACAGAGUCUAGAGAAAUGCCACAGGCAAGUAAGUUAUAUGUCCUUCCAAGAAAUAUAACUGUUUGUCCACCAGGGCUGGUAAAUUCCUCCACUUUCAGCUUCGCAGUCUGAGUCAAAUGCUGCAGUUUUGGGGAGCUGUGCAGCCUUUGUCUUGCUGGUACAAAUGUUAGUUUUGUUCUUGGGUAUUUUAUCUCAAGGUUGAAGCUAGCACUCUGAAAGGUGAGUGGAGUUAUUUCUACAAAAAUAAAUAAAGGAAAAAUCUAAGUAACUCCAAGGCCAAUAAAAAUAAAGAAUGAGCUAUGCUGCCCCAUUAGAUGCCUUUUUUUUUUUUUUUGUUAGAUAAAUAUCAAGUUUAUGCUUUACUGUUUCUGGUUGGUUUUACUUCUUCUCAGUCCAUCAAGAAAUCUGCUGACAAAAGGAAAGACAUUUUUCUUUCUUUCUAACACAUAUAGUAUAAGUCUUGAAGGGAGCAUAAAGAAACUUCCAAAUAAUUUCUUAACAAUACCUUGUGCAACAUUAAAAACAGUAACACGUUAAUUUUCCCUUAUGACUAAUGUGAAGCCUUUACCUGUCUCCUACCCCAAAAAUUACCAGCUUGUUAGAAAGAGAACUCAAGAUUUAUGGCUCAAAUGCCUCUUGUUUCAUUCUCCUGGGCAUCAGCCUGGUCAAGGAAAGCUGUAUUGAUCACUACAGUGAUCUAUCCCUCUUUUUGACUAGACAACAACUUGAACUCAAGCAGACAAAUUUGUUUCAGCCAUCAAAAUGAAACUUUUUAAAUUGAAACUCAGCUUUGUAAAAGACUGUAGGUAGCCUGAAUAUCUGAAAUGUAGAAUAUUAAAAAAAAAGCUUGGUAAGGGAAGUUAGAGAAGUGAAAGGGAAAACAGGAUUAUCCCAAAAAAAUAUUCACCUUUUCUUUUUUGUUUGUUUGUUUGUUUGUUUUGGUUUUUGUUUUUUUUGUUUGAGCCGCACAGCAUAUAUUCAAAAUGUCCAGAACUGAGCAUAUUUACAGAGACCUGCCUGCAAGAAGAAAUCAGUGAGUGCUGUUGGCACACACUGCACACUGUGUGUAAAGGAGCUCACCCUGCAACAACUGAGAGUGGCUGAAAUACUUUCAGUAUUUAGACCAUGACGAUGUACCAGCUCUCCUUAGAGACUGAAAGCAUAAGAAGAUGUUGGUGUCCACUAGAGCAGAUUAGAACUAUUGUCUGACAUAUUCUUGUUGAAAUCAAUCAGAAGAGGAAAGGCUGAAAGAUUUGGGAUUGUUCAGCCUAGAAGAGAGAACACUUUGGGGUGACCUAAUUGUGACCUUCCAGUACCUGAAGGGAGCCCACAAGAUGGACAAAGAGAGACUAUUUACAAAGCACAUAAUUUGUAUCCACAUCACUACAGAACUGAUGUUUAAGGUGAGCAUUUAUCUCAGAAUUUGACUUGUGAGCUGGCCUGUAUUUUCCUAUAUCCUUACAUCUCCAGAUUUUCUCUGGUUAGC